AUUGAACGCUGGCGGCAGGCUUAACACAUGCAAGUCGAGCGGGGAAGAGUAGCUUGCUACUUUACCUAGCGGCGGACGGGUGAGUAAUGCUUAGGAAUCUGCCUAUUAGUGGGGGACAACAUCUCGAAAGGGAUGCUAAUACCGCAUACGUCCUACGGGAGAAAGCAGGGGACCUUCGGGCCUUGCGCUAAUAGAUGAGCCUAAGUCGGAUUAGCUAGUUGGUGGGGUAAAGGCCUACCAAGGCGACGAUCUGUAGCGGGUCUGAGAGGAUGAUCCGCCACACUGGGACUGAGACACGGCCCAGACUCCUACGGGAGGCAGCAGUGGGGAAUAUUGGACAAUAGGGGGAACCCUGAUCCAGCCAUGCCGCGUGUGUGAAGAAGGCCUUUUGGUUGUAAAGCACUUUAAGCGAGGAGGAGGCUACCGAGAUUAAUACUCUUGGAUAGUGGACGUUACUCGCAGAAUAAGCACCGGCUAACUCUGUG
rnacentral:rRNA from 1 species